rnacentral:rRNA from 1 species
CCUACGGGUGGCAGCAGUGGGGAAUAUUGGACAAUGGGGGCAACCCUGAUCCAGCGAUGCCGCGUGAGUGAUGAAGGCCUUCGGGUUGUAAAGCUCUUUUGCACGCGACGAUGAUGACGGUAGCGUGAGAAUAAGCCCCGGCUAACUCUGUGCCAGCAGCCGCGGUAAUACAGAGGGGGCUAGCGUUGUUCGGAAUGACUGGGCGUAAAGGGCGCGUAGGUGGCUCUACAAGUCAGAUGUGAAAGGCCUAGGCUUAACCUGGGGAUGGCAUUUGAGACUGUAAAGCUAGAGUCCGGGAGAGGAUAGCGGAAUUCCUAGUGUAGAGGUGAAAUUCGUAGAUAUUAGGAAGAACACCGGUGGCGAAGGCGGCUAUCUGGAACGGAACUGACACUGAGGCGCGAAAGCGUGGGGAGCAAACAGGCUUAGAUACCCCGGUAGUC